UGAGGAAUAUUGGUCAAUGGGCGGAAGCCUGAACCAGCCAUGCCGCGUGCAGGACGACGGCCCUACGGGUUGUAAACUGCUUUUCCGGGGGAAGAAUAAGGGCGACGCGUCGCCCGAUGCCGGUACCCCGGGAAUAAGGAUCGGCUAACUCCGUGCCAGCAGCCGCGGUAAUACGGAGGAUCCGAGCGUUAUCCGGAUUUACUGGGUUUAAAGGGUGCGUAGGCGGGCCCCGCAGUCAGCGGUGAAAGUCUGUGGCUCAACCGUAGGAUUGCCGGUGAUACUGGGGGCGUUGGAUUCGGUCGAGGCGGGCGGAAUGCGUGGUGUAGCGGUGAAAUGCUUAGAUAUCACACAGAACGCCGAUUGCGAAGGCAACUCGCCGGGCCGAAAUCGACGCUGAGGCACGAAAGCGUGGGGAUCGAACA
rnacentral:rRNA from 1 species